CUCAACUACCACUUGGGCAGAGCCCAACGUCUCCUUCAGUCCCGUCAGUCAGGCUGCCAAACAUCCCAACUGACAGCUGCAUCCUGUGUCUGAUACAGAACACCCCGGGCGCCUCGCAGCCUCGCUCCCCUUCCCUACCUCUUACUAAAGGGGAUUCUUCCCAAGCAUCCACUGUGCUGUAAAUUAAAUCUCUGCCCCUUGCAUUUUUAAACCGUCCACCCCCUAACCCUUACCGCCAGCUUCCCUCCAAAUCAGAAAACCCCAAACACCUGUAAAAUUAAUCGAAAGCACGCCAACACCUGAAGCAGCGCAAGCGGGAUCCACACCCGGGCAAGUCCUCUGUGGCUUUAGUGGUCGGGAAUAGCCCGUGCCUGACAUGGCCUCCUCUCCCCGCUCCGACCGUUUGACCCCCGAGCCCUGGAAUCCAGCCAAGGUCUCGGGGGCGCAGGGUCAACCUGGUCAGCGUCGGGGCGGCUCGGGGGCGCGGCUCGUCUCCCCUCAUCCCGCCCCAGCCCGCGCGCCCGCACCGUCGCCGCCGCCACCGCCUCCCGGGUGGGCCCUCGGAACAUCCCGCGCCGCGUCCUCCCCGCCCAGGCUCCCGCUUGCCCGCCCGCCGGAGCCCGGCCCGCGCCGCUGGCAGCCAUCAAGUGGCUCGUUAAGGAAAUGCAGGUGAGUGCGUGCGGCGGGGCGGCUGCCGCCGGAGACGUGGGGUGUGUGCCUGUCUGUUCGAGCGGGAGCAAGAGGGAGCGCGAGCGAGCGGGCCAGCGCGGGAGCGACCGGGAGAGGCUCACCGCCCCGGCUCCCCGCCCCGCCGCGCCCGCAGCCGGCAGCCCGAGCGCGUGGGGCAGCGCCUCGCCCUGACGGAGGACGGUCCCUCAGCUUCUCCGCCAGCCGCUCGUCGGCCUCCCCCGCCCCGCGCUCCCUCCCAGCCCGAGCCCUCCCGCUGCUCCUCCUCCUCAGCCUCCUCCCUCCUCGCGCCGCUGACAGGCAGCCUCCGCGGGGAGAGUGCAGGUACUUUGCCUUCAGAAUAAUUUGCAGGACCCCGGCGAGCUUGCGGAGCGCCCAGAUUUUCUCUUGCCCUCGCCCCCUCCCUCCCGAAAAGAAGAUCCCACUUUUGAAACAAGCAGAACCCCCGAAGCAGGAGCAGCAGACCAAAGCCAGAGCCCGACGGGCGGCUGUGCAUGUGCUGUCCUUUCUUGCAGUUUAUUCUGGGCCUGUGUGGAAUAGAAAGACAAUUCUUUAUUUGACUGGAAGGAGAGAAAAGAGAAGACUCCUCAGGGUUUCCAAGGAAGACUGGAGCGGCUGCUUUAGUGAGAGAUGGAGCUGAAAUUGCCAGCUACAGCUAUCAAGACCAUCCCCAAGAAAAAGAAAUGCAAAAUAGCAAAAUGGCUGUCUGAGGAGGCUUUACAAAUAGCUAUGAAAAGAAGAGAAGUGAAAAGCAAAGGAGAAAAGGAAAGAUAUACCCAUUUGAAUGCAGAGUUCCAAAGAAUAACAAGGAGAGAUAAGAGCUUUCCUCAGUGAUCACUGCAAAGAAAUAGAGGAAAACAACAGAAUGGGAAAGACUAGAGAUCUCUUCAAGAAAAUGAGAGAUACCAAGGGAACAUUUCAUGCAAAGAUGGGCUCGAUAAAGGACAGAAAUGGUAUGGACCUAACAGAAGCAGAAGAUAUUAAGAAGAGGUGGCAAGAAUACACAGAAGAACUGGACAAAAAAGUAAUUCGAAACCCAGAUAAUCAUGAUGCUGUGAUCAUUCACCUAAGCCAGACAUCCUGGAGUGUGAAGUCAAGUAGGCUUUAGGAAGCAUCACUACAAAUAAACUAGAGGAGGAGUGGAAUUCCA
rnacentral:lncRNA from 1 species